AGCAACUGCCAGCAGCACCCUGCCCUCAGGAAACCGUAGAGUGAAAGGGCCUUCUCACACUUCAUGCUUGCCUUUCUCUCUCACUUUCCAACUGUCAUUCUUACAUCACUUCCUCUCUGAGAUCAGUUUCUAUUUCUUUUAACUAUAGUCUGGUCUCCAUGGUAACAGAACUGCUUAUCUUUGGGCCUGGCUCUCUGUCUACUGAGCCAACCAGCUCUUUCCCCAGUUAAGUUAGAGCAAGGGAUUAAGAAUUCCCUUUUAUACUAAAAUGGAGGUAGCUAUGGAUUCUUGAUGUUUAUAAGAGAACCGAAACUUCAGCAGACCUGUGUCAAAAUGAAAAGGUUAUGAACAGUUUCCUCAGAACUAUAUUCUUUAAUAUGAUAACCAACCUGGUUAUAUUGGAAAAGGCCCAUCAUCAAGUUGACUGAAAAUAAUUUUUGCACUUCAACUGAUCCAGAGGAUGCUUACCAAGACAUAGAAGAGUUGCAAUCUUCAUUGGCAGAGGUGAACUGUAGGGCACUGCAGCUGUGUGGAGAAUUCAAGUGAUGAUGCCGAGUAAUACUGGGAAACCUUUCAACUAUUGAAUUGGUAUGCAUGAAACAUGAAAUGAAAAAGUGCUUGUUUCCCACUAACUCAAAAGAGAGCUUUCUAAGACAUCAAUUUCCAUAGAGAGAUCAAAACUGAGAAGCAUCAGGGUCAACUUUUGGUUAAAAACUGAGGAACUCUGAAUAUGGAACAUAUUCUCACCACAGCAUAAAAAAGGAAAAAAAUAUUAUAUACAUAAUAAGGGUUUUGGCAAGCGAUGAUAUUCUGUCCAGUUACCCAAUAUAAUUCUCUAGUAGCUUCUCCAUUGUGAAGCUGGGACACAAAGGUAGUAUUAAAAAGCAGAAAACUUUUUCUGCUCUAUAAUUCAGCUUGUCAACAUUGCUCUGACCUUCUGCCUUUCAAGGUAAGUUUAUGGUAAGUGAGUCAAACAUCAUGUCCCCAUACCCUUGGAAGUACUAGACUUCCCCUUUAGUUUAUUUUUGUCAUUUUUUGCAUAUUUCCUUCACAAUUCCCCAUUAAGAACGUAGUUCUCUGCCAAAUCCUGAACAGGAGGAGGCACCAAAGACUAAGAUAGGUACUAGUGUUCUCUACCUCUCUUUCUGACCUUUGGUAUUGAUUACUAAAUAGAUAGUAAAACUAUACUAGUGGGAGACCUGAACCUACCACUAUCAAAUUUAGAAAAAUCAAAUCAAAAAAAUAAAUAAGAAAGAGGUAAAAGAGGUGAAUAAAAUCUUAAAAAAAUUAGAAUUAGUAGAUAUGUGGAGAAAAAUAAAUAGGGACAAAAAAGGGAAAAAAAGGAGAGAUGAGGUUUUGUGAAUUUCAAAACUACUCCAUGCUAUUCAGACCAUUCUUUAGAAGAUGGGAUUUAGCUAUUUCCUGAUCAAUGACAAUAGAGAUUCUUGGAAAGAUGGGAGACAUAUUUUUUUAGUAUAAUCCAUCUUACAAGGACAUUGAGAACUUGCUACAGGCUUUUUUAACUGAAUGUGAGAAAAUAAAAUAAUUGCUCAUGUUAACAAAACCCGGGAGCAUAAUGUAGCACAUUGGCCAUCUCAGGAUCCCAAAUGGGGCUAUAACAACCCUGAGUAUUUUCUACAACUAUACCUUCUUAGAGAGGCCAUCCUUACAGCAAUGAGGGAAUGUUCAGACAGUGCAGAUAAGUGGAUAGAACUUGAAAAAAUUAAGCAAAAGGAGGAAGAAACAUGCUCCAGAUUCAUGGAUAGAAUAAUCAAUUUUGGGGACAGAUACCUGGAUUGAGACCUAACUAAAGAGAAUAGCUUAAGACAAGUUAGAAGGAUCAUUGUCAAUAAGUCUUGCAAAGUGAUUAAGAAUUAUUUUAGAACACAUUGUCCAAGAUGGUCAGAGAUGGACCUUGAAGAAUUACAAAAAAUAGCUAUAUAUGUUUUAAAGGGAAAUAAAGAAAAGGAGGAAGAAAAUAAUGAUGCCAUGGAGGAAAUGAAGAAAUGAGAUGUGUAAAAGAGAAGAUAGUUAAUUAGAAAGUGGGCAUGAUAAUGAACCAAUGACACUUGCCCCUCUCCAGAAAUCUAAUUAUCAAUCCAUUACCUGCCACUUCUGUGGGAAGAAGAGCCACAAUAUGGUACAGUGUAAAGUUUUUCUCAAGAUUAUAGAAAGGAAUACACAAUUUAAUGAAAACUGCAGAAAUGAUAAUUAUAGAAAUAACUAUAAUUAUGACAAUGAAAACUACAACUUUAGGAAUGAUGACUAUAGGAAUACAUAUUGGGAAAAUGAUAAUUCAAAUGAAAUAACUCCACACAAUAUAUAAAAACUGGUGCUUGCCAAUCUGCUCAUAUAAAUGGUCACUUUGGUACCCAGAGCAUCAUGAACUCUGUUAAGAGAGUAUGGAUAGCCCCCGGUAUAACUACCAUAGCCUCUAAAGUGUGUUCAGCUUGAUCUACCUGCCAGGUAUAUAACCAACCUGCCUUUUGUGGCAAAGCUUUCAGUGGGCGUGCUCUGGCUUACACACCUUUUGAGUACCUACAGAGAGAUUUCAUAACAAUGCCAAAGGCUUGACAUUAUAAAUUUUGUCUAGUCAUAGUAGAUCAACUGAACAGAUGGCCAGAAGCUUUAAGCAUUUCCUGUGACCCGAGCCACAACAGUUUUUGUUGCUAAGGUGCUUUAAAAAGAAAGUAUUCCUCGUUUUGGCCAGCCAGCACAUAUUGAUUCAGAUGGAGGAAGUCAUUUUACUGAUUCUAUCUUAAACCAAAUAUAUUCUUGCUUGGGGAUAACUCCCAAAUUCCAUGUUCCAUAUCAUCCCCAGAGCUCAGGCCAAGUUGAAAGGAUGAAUAAAGAACUUAAAACUAUGAUUGGCAAAUUAUGCACUGAGACACAUUUAAAAAGGCCUGAAAUUCUCCCUCUGGCCCUAUUUUAUCUUAGAAGCAGGCCUAGAGGAGACUUAUAUAUCUCACCAUUUGAGAUGCUUUUUGGACAUCCAUCUAUACAGGCUUAGCCUUUCUCCCUGGCAUAUACAUCACUAUUAGGGGGAGAUACUACUAUUGCUUCUUAUAUACAGGAAUUACAGCAUAAACUGUGUGAACUUCAUGCAGUACAAGCCGGACCACUAGACUUUUCACAUCACAACCUGAACCCAGGAGACAAGAUAUAUAUUAAGAAUUUCCAGCAUACUGGAGCAACUCAGCCUUCCUGGGAGGGACCAUUCUAAAUAUUGUUAACUACUCCAACAUCUAUAAAGGUUGGAGAGAAGGACUCUUGGAUUCACUGCUCACAUGUGAGAGCAUUUUCUGUUGAGACAGAUUGACUGUAUCCUAUCACAUGCAUUGAAGAUAAUAAUCCAUUGACAAGUGGAUGCUGUUUUUCAAAAACACACUGAAUUCCUGAUUUUUUCUUAUCUUUCCCUUAUUUUUUAUUAUUGCUUUUAUUUUGAAUAUUUGAAUUUCCCCCCUUUCCUCAUUUCUCAUAAAAAAGGUACAUACAAUUAAUUUUUUUCUUUCUCUCUGCAGUAAUUUAAGUUUAAAUAUACAUACUUACUAUAUUAUUAAAACAUACCCAAACAGCUUUAGACUGUGGGAACCUGUCAUUUAUUGAUAAAAUGUUACAGGACUAUGAUUAAUAUUUGUGUCUGAUUCCAGGAAAUGGUAUAAAAACAAGGAGCACCAACUUAACCUGAAUAGUGCCAAAGGAGCACACAGGAAAUACUAAUGUGGACUCGAGGUUUCAACACUUGACAAAUGUACAGUUGUAGGACUUCCUUGUAUCUACACUCUUUCUGAAGUACUCAUAAAAGUACCAAAAUUUGACUAUCAUGCUAGCUCCCUAUAUCCCUGAGAAUGAAAAAAAUCAGACCUGGGAAUGAUGCUUCCUUAUCAAAAUGUAAUUAUAGUUCCUUUGCUUCAUAUAAUAUGGCAAAUUACUGUAGUCUCGGCUGCAAAUGGGUAAGUGAAAUAGUACUGCAUUCUGUCCUACAGACUUGUGGGAUAGAAAUUACUUUAAAUUGGACCUGUACAAGCUCCUAUUAUGAUUUUAUUUUUGCUUACUCAACAUUUUACAUACAUAGAUUUUGGUAUUUUGAUUCUGAUUUUGAAUUUUUUUCUUCCCUUUCUCCCAAAAGUUUAACUUUCUUCCAUAUUUUUUUUCUUUUUAUAUAUUUUUGUUUUGUUUUUUGUUUGUUUUGUUUUUAUUGCUUUUGAAUUCUUUUAAUAACUGACUCAUACAUCCCAAUAACUCAACAAUGCAUCCUGAGCUGAAUUGGAUUUUUUUAACACCUACUUCAGAGGGGUAUUGUAUUUUAAUAAAAAUCCAAGAUUUUGAAAAGUUAUUUUUGUUUAAGAAAGAUCUUAGGAAGAAGCUUGCUAACUCCUAAAUCCAAAGAAUGAACUGUUGCAGAAAGAUGCCAGAAAAUCUACAUUACAUCAAUAUCAAGAAUAAAACUUGGGGUGUGGUUGCUUGAACUGAAGGUUGAUGGAAUUUAUUUUGAAUGUACACUCUUCUGCCAAAGGGGACUGCCCCCUAAUUGGCUUUUGUCAAUGUGCCCAGUAAAACAUUGGUUUUGCUGUCUCUCUCUAUCUCUCCUAUUUUUCUCUUAUCUCUAACUAUUGUAAUUUCAUAGCUGGUAUGUUUACAAGACCCAUCAGAGAGAGUAGUCUUCCUUGGGCCUCAGGGGGAUUGUGAAUUUCAAAACUUCUCCACCCUAUUCAGACCAUUCUUUAGAAGAUGGGAUUUAGCUAUUUCCUGAUCCAUAAUAAUAGAGAUACUUGAAAUAACAGCAGGACUUAGAAACUACAAUCUCCACCCUACUCAAGGUAACAAGAUUAGGAAGGGCUGCAGCAAAACUCAAGAUUUAAUUAUUUGAGAAUAUGGCCUUCAACACACAUGUGCAAAAAGGACAGAUCUCUGGGAGGUCCUAGGUCAAGCUAUAGAGCCCCCAUUGGCACAUGUAAGACACAGGAAGUGAGGUAGAGAACAACCUCUGGAGUUCUCGGGACUUCCUGUGAGGAGGGCUGGAGGUAGUGGGAGGCUGGUGCUUGGAGUUGGAGGAGCCCACAGACUGUUUUUCUCCAGAUUGGUCACGUGAGUGAUAAGGACUGAUCUCUUUCCUUGCCUUGGCUAUCCAUGGCCUUAAAGGCCACUUUGGCUCAGCCUGAGCAGAGUGGGUAUUUAAACCUUUUUCCUUCUCUCCCCUUUCCUUCUCUCUCUCUCUCUCUUCCUCUAAUACUUUCUUUCUCUUGUUUGUAAUUAAAUCAUCAUAAAAAAGUUGGCAGCUGAAUUGAGUGUU